rnacentral:lncRNA from 1 species
UUUGCCAAAGGGAGGGUGCAACAAGUUUCAGGUGUUUGUAUGAGAAGUGUGCUAGAAUUACACACGAAAAUUGCUCUAGGAUUCUGGCUGAUAAUUAGAAGCAAAAAUUUCAUUAAUACUCAUAAAAUAAGAGAGUAGUUGCCUGAUCAGUUGAGGGGGAGGAAUAGUAAGCUGCUGAAUGAUCCAUUCAUUUCUGCUCUUCCAUAUUAGCCAGGCCAUGUGACUCAUCAUUGCUUUGGUCCUCUUCUCUAUCUUGGCAUUUGCUAAACAGGUAGUCAAAACUAGCAAAGAAGGAGGAAUAAAAAAUUGCUCGGACGUCAUGGCGAGCUAUGCCCAACAUUGGUUAGCAAAAGGACAAGAUAUAAUAACAUGUUCAGGAUCUUCUACCAUAUUAGCACAGAGAUCACAAUAAAGCAUAUUGUCAGGAAUAACGCCACUUUGAUAGAGAGUAAGUUU